CGGCUAANUACGUGCCAGCAGCCGCGGUAAUACGUAGGUGNCAAGCGUUGUCCGGAUUUAUUGGGCGUAAAGCGAGCGCAGGCGGUUCCUUAAGUNUGAUGUGAAAGCCCCCGGCUCAACCGGGGAGGGUCAUUGGAAACUGGGGAACUUGAGUGCAGAAGAGGAGAGUGGAAUUCCAUGUGUAGCGGUGAAAUGCGUAGAUAUAUGGAGGAACACCAGUGGCGAAGGCGACUCUCUGGUCUGUAACUGACGCUGAGGCUCGAAAGCGUGGGUAGCAAACAGGGUUAGAUACCCUGGUAGUCCACGCCGUAAACGAUGAGUGCUAAGUGUUGGAGGGUUUCCGCCCUUCAGUGCUGCAGUUAACGCAUUAAGCACUCCGCCUGGGGAGUACGACCGCAAGGUUGAAACUCAAAGGGAUUGACGGGGACCCGCACAAGCGGUGGAGCAUGUGGUUUAAUUCGAAGCAACGCGAAGAAUCUUACCAAGUCUUGACAUCCUUUGACCACUCUAGAGAUAGAGCUUUCCCUUCGGGGACAAAGUGACAGGUGGUGCAUGGUUGUCGUCAGCUCGUGUCGUGAGAUGUUGGGUUAAGUCCCGCAACGAGCGCAACCCUUAUUACUAGUUGCCAGCAUUCGGUUGGGCACUCUAGUGAGACUGCCGGUGACAAACCGGAGGAAGGUGGGGAUGACGUCAAAUCAUCAUGCCCCUUAUGACUUGGGCUACACACGUGCUACAAUGGAUGGUACAACGAGCAGCGAACUCGCGAGGGUAAGCGAAUCUCUUAAAGCCAUUCUCAGUUCGGAUUGUAGGCUGCAACUCGCCUACAUGAAGCCGGAAUCGCUAGUAAUCGCGGAUCAGCACGCCGCGGUGAAUACGUUCCCGGGUCUUGUACACACCGCCCGUCACACCACGAGAGUUUGUAACACCCAAAGUCGGUGAGGUAACCAUUUGGAGCCA
rnacentral:rRNA from 1 species